rnacentral:rRNA from 1 species
CCAGAAAGACUAUCUGGUUGAUAGGUCGAAGGUGUAAGUGCAGCAAUGUAUUUAGCUUAUCGAUACUAAUAGGUCGAGGACUUUACCAAUAUUUAUUUGAUGUUCAGUC